UACGAAGGGGGCUAGCGUUGCUCGGAAUCACUGGGCGUAAAGCGCACGUAGGCGGCUUCUUAAGUCAGGGGUGAAAUCCUGGAGCUCAACUCCAGAACUGCCUUUGAUACUGGGAAGCCUCGAGUCCGGGAGAGGUGAGUGGAACUGCGAGUGUAGAGGUGAAAUUCGUAGAUAUUCGCAAGAACACCAGUGGCGAAGGCGGCUCACUGGCCCGGAACUGACGCUGAGGUGCGAAAGCGUGGGGAGCAAACAGG
rnacentral:rRNA from 1 species